rnacentral:lncRNA from 1 species
AUGGACUCGAUUGUCUCCCAAUGACCUUCACACCUAAUUCUGUGACCUUCAUCAUCGUUGAGAUUUUCAAUCAAGUAUAUGUACCCUGUGAAAACAAUAGAUCUUAAGUUUAUAACAAUCAGAACUAAUUUUAUGAAAUCGAAAAGAAGUCAAUGACAGAUCUUGAUUAGAAUUUAGGAAUUUUUCAUGAUUGGAUUUAGAAACAAUUUCUUAUGAAACCCAAACAAGGUUAUUGACAGAUCUUGAUUUGAUUUUUUUGGAGAAAUAUAUACAAUAACUAAAUCUAUAAAAUGCCUUGAAGACUGGAAAUGAAGAAAAGAAACAAUUUUCAAUGACCAAGAUAAUAAAAUAUCUCAG